rnacentral:rRNA from 5 species
UUAAAUUGAAGAGUUUGAUCAUGGCUCAGAUUGAACGCUGGCGGCAGGCCUAACACAUGCAAGUCGAACGGUAGCACAGAGAGCU